CCGGCGAGGGGAGUGAAAAAGAACCUGAAACCGUGUACGUACAAGCAGUGGGAGCACCCUUUGGGGUGUGACUGCGUACCUUUUGUAUAAUGGGUCAGCGACUUAUAUUCUGUAGCAAGGUUAACCGAAUAGGGGAGCCGGAGGGAAACCGAGUCUUAACCGGGCGUUAAGUUGCAGGGUAUAGACCCGAAACCCGGUGAUCUAGCCAUGGGCAGGUUGAAGGUUGGGUAACACUAACUGGAGGACCGAACCGACUAAUGUUGAAAAAUUAGCGGAUGACCUGUGGCUGGGGGUGAAAGGCCAAUCAAACCGGGAGAUAGCUGGUUCUCCCCGAAAGCUAUUUAGGUAGCGCCUCGUGAAUUCAUCUCCGGGGGUAGAGCACUGUUUCGGCUAGGGGGCCAUCCCGGCUUACCAACCCGAUGCAAACUGCGAAUACCGGAGAAUGUUAUCACGGGAGACACACGGCGGGUGCUAACGUCCGUCGUGAAGAGGGAAACAACCCAGACCGCCAGCUAAGGUCCCAAAGUCAUAGUUAAGUGGGAAACGAUGUGGGAAGGCCCAGACAGCCAGGAUGUUGGCUUAGAAGCAGCCAUCAUUUAAAGAAAGCGUAAUAGCUCACUGGUCGAGUCGGCCUGCGCGGAAGAUGUAACGGGGCUAAACUAUGCACCGAAGCUGCGGCAGCGA
rnacentral:rRNA from 1 species